rnacentral:piRNA from 1 species
UAUUAUCCGUAGGUUUGGUCUUCUCAU